rnacentral:rRNA from 1 species
UACGAAGGGGGCUAGCGUUACUCGGAAUUACUGGGCGUAAAGCGUGCGUAGGUGGUUCGUUAAGUCUGUCGUGAAAGCCCCGGGCUCAACCUGGGAAUGGCGACGGAUACUGGCGGGCUAGAGUGCGGUAGAGGAGAGUGGAAUUCCCGGUGUAGCAGUGAAAUGCGUAGAGAUGUGGAGGAACACCGAUGGCGAAGGCAGCCUCCUGGGCCAGCACUGACGCUCAUGCACGAAAGCGUGGGGAGCAAACAGG